AUGUAUAUACAUACAUGUGUAUGUAUGUAUAUACACACAUGUGUAUGUAUGUAUAUACACACGUGUGUGUGUGUAU